UUCUGGUUGGUUACUGUUGGUGUGUGACCACUACUGGACAGAAGAUCCAGGGUACGGACACUCCACCAGGCACUGCUAUCAACUGCUAGCAACUGUUCCAAGAUGAAGGGCGUUGGAAUGGAGACGUUGAAAAGACGGACAGUUGUCUUUACUGUACUACAGGUACUGAUUCACAUCCCAUUUAAAUACAUGAAGAAAUCCAGAGAUUAAACUGUUGAUUUACUU